UCCGAUGAGCCUUCUUCCAUUUUCAAAAGAAAAGAGAACCAAAUAUCUUGUCAUAAAUUGAGGUAAUAGACCGAUGAGCCUUCUUCCAUGUUCAAAAGAAAAGAGAACUAAAUAUCUCAUCGAAAAUUGAGGUAAUAGAACCCUGAACCAUUGCUUCCUCCCUCACCAUCCUAAAGCCGCCAUUGUUGAUCAAUUUUGAGCUGGUUGAUGGCAGAUUUUUUUGGGGACCGAGCCUCCCCUAUUUUUGUUUUCUUUUCUUUCGUCGGAGUAGCUAUUGUUGCCGGCCAUGCUCUACCGAAGAACGAGGCAAUUGGGGUUCCACCACUACUAGAGACUGCUGCUUGUCAAAGGUCACCACCUUGGGAGGUGGCCAGCCUUAGAGUUCUCCUUUUCCCCUCUCCUAUUUUCAUGAAGAAGAAGAAGAAAGAAGAAAAUGAGAAAGGAAAAAAAAUAAAAGAAAAAAAUUUUUAAACUGUGUAGGCGAAUUAUGUAUGGAUUAAUAAAUUUCUAAACUGUGUAGACGAAUGAUACGGAGUAUCUCAUAUCAUGGCACGGUGAAGACCAUCGGAGGGGCUGAGUAGGAGACAGAUCAUAGGAUUCGACCACAGCUUCGACCCUCUAUCAGCUCGAGGAUCUUUGUCGAUGACUUCUUCUCAGAGCUCGAUAAUCCAGACAUGGGCUGACACACAUAUGAAAGAGAUCGUGCAGAAAUUUUUGAGCCAGCGACCUCAGAGCUUUCGAGACACCAUCCGUGAUAUGAUUGUUGAUAUUUUUCAGGAUUCGCAUCUGCAUGAUCAGCUAGGUUCGUUGUCACAGGCAUCACAACAGAUAAAUCUAUUAAUAAUUUUUUUAGUUAUUUUAAAUUUUUAUAUUUAGAAGCUUCACA
rnacentral:lncRNA from 1 species